GACGAACGCUGGCGGCGUGCUUAACACAUGCGAGUCGAACGGAAAGGCCCUGCUUUUGUGGGGUGCUCGAGUGGCGAACGGGUGAGUAACACGUGAGUAACCUGCCCUUGACUUUGGGAUAACUUCAGGAAACUGGGGCUAAUACCGGAUAGGAGCUCCUGCUGCAUGGUGGGGGUUGGAAAGUUUCGGCGGUUGGGGAUGGACUCGCGGCUUAUCAGCUUGUUGGUGGGGUAGUGGCUUACCAAGGCUUUGACGGGUAGCCGGCCUGAGAGGGUGACCGGCCACAUUGGGACUGAGAUACGGCCCAGACUCCUACGGGAGGCAGCAGUGGGGAAUAUUGCACAAUGGGCGGAAGCCUGAUGCAGCAACGCCGCGUGCGGGAUGACGGCCUUCGGGUUGUAAACCGCUUUCGCCUGUGACGAAGCGUGAGCGACGGUAAUGGGUAAAGAAGCACCGGCUAACUACGUG
rnacentral:rRNA from 1 species